ACUCCUGCGGGAGGCAGCAGUGGGGAAUAUUGCACAAUGGGCGCAAGCCUGAUGCAGCCAUGCCGCGUGUAUGAAGAAGGCCUUCGGGUUGUAAAGUACUUUCAGCGGGGAGGAAGGCGAUAAGGUUAAUAACCUUGUUGAUUGACGUUACCCGCAGAAGAAGCACCGGCUAACUCCGUGCCAGCAGCCGCGGUAAUACGGAGGGUGCAAGCGUUAAUCGGAAUUACUGGGCGUAAAGCGCACGCAGGCGGUCUGUCAAGUCGGAUGUGAAAUCCCCGGGCUCAACCUGGGAACUGCAUUCGAAACUGGCAGGCUAGAGUCUUGUAGAGGGGGGUAGAAUUCCAGGUGUAGCGGUGAAAUGCGUAGAGAUCUGGAGGAAUACCGGUGGCGAAGGCGGCCCCCUGGACAAAGACUGACGCUCAGGUGCGAAAGCGUGGGGAGCAAACAGGAUUAGAAACCCCAGUAGUCCCAUGA
rnacentral:rRNA from 1 species